rnacentral:rRNA from 1 species
CUACGGGCGGCACCAGUCGAGAAGCUUCGGCAAUGGACGAAAGUCUGACCGAGCGACGCCGCGUGAGCGAUGAAGGCCCCAGUGGUCGUAAAGCUCUGUCAGGAGGGAAUAAAUACCUGCGGCGAAUAACCGCAGGGGCUGAAGGUACCUCCAGAGGAAGCGCCAGCUAACUACGUGCCAGCAGCCGCGGUAAUACGUAGGGCGCAAACGUUGUUCGGAUUUACUGGGUAUAAGGGGUUCGUAGGCGGGCUGGUAAGUCAGAGGUGAAAGCCAACGGCUCAACCGUUGAAUUGCCUCUGAUACUGUCAGCCUUGAGUCCGUUAGGGGAUGGUGGAAUUCCUGGUGUAGCGGUGAAAUGCGUAAAUAUCAGGAGGAACACCGGUGGCGAAGGCGGCCAUCUGGGACGGUACUGACGCUGAGGAACGAAAGCAUGGGUAUCAAACGGGAUUAGAUACCCGGGUAGUC